GGAUGGACAGACAGUGCAGUCACCCAUAAAGUAGAAAGCACUACUAACAGCACUGGAGGGUGUAGUGUUUCCUACUUUAUGGAUGAGUGUACUGUGGGCUUCGGAG
rnacentral:pre_miRNA from 13 species